rnacentral:tRNA from 1 species
GGGGGUAUAGUUCAGCUGGGAGAGCACCUGCCUUGCAAGCAGGGGGUCAGCAGUUCGAUUCUGCUUAUCUCCACCA